CCCGGCCUGCCACCUUGCUCUCAGACCGAGUGUGACAGCUAGCUGCGCCUUCCGAGAAACUAAUGUAUGCGUUUAUUUUUUAAAAAAUAUGUUGAUGUUGAUAUUCAUGGAAAGAUCUGCAAACAGAGAACGCCAGGUCCGGUUGUGAGAUGCUGCUUGUUGAAGUGCCUCUAGUUAAUCCCAAGCGUUGUGUCUCACUCAUUCGCCUCGCUAUCCUCAACCUAGCUCCACGCAUAAAUGACAAGCCAGCUGCAAGCAGAGAAUCCUGUCCUGCGCCAAUCAGAGAGCGAGUUGUAGCUCAGAACGACAUCCCAGUACUCCAAUGGAACGUGGUCAUUGACAUCCCUCUCGACCAAUUGUAGACAAAGAGCACUGCUCACGGUGACACCACAUAUUAUUGGCGGUUGGCCGACGAUGACGUUUAAUUGACAUCUCAAUUCCCCAACCAAUGGAAAGGAAAUUAAGGAAGAAGGCAAGUCACUGUAGACCCCUCCACUAUUGGAUGUUGAAAUCGUCGAAUGGCAGCCUUUCCUGGAGUCGCUCUCCCUGAUUCUCCUCUUCAUGCGGCUCUGAGCGUGCGCAUUUGUGACGCACCUGUGAUUGACAUUUCCACGCGAGUCGUCUGUUCAGUGAGAGGGCUGUAGUUGUGCUGAGCCUGGAAAUAGUUAUAUCUGUUUCUCUUUUGGAUCGCAUUGUCAAUCCCUCAGGACCUCAAGCUGGAUGACACUCUUCCACUCCGGCGUUGCGUAUCCCGAACUAACUCGAUGGUUCAUUAAUGAUGCCGCACAUCCUAUCGUUGGUCAGGCAAGGUGGUGUUAGAAGAGCCGCGUCAGUAGGAACCGAAGAAAAAUACUGUGGAUGAUAUAAAUCGGAGACAAAAACAGAAAUUGCUGGAAAAGCUCAGCUGGUCCGACAGUACCUGUGGAGAGAAAUUAAUUAACGUUUCGGGUCGAGUGACUCUUCCUCAGAACUGACCUGCUGAGCUUUUCCAGCAAUUUCUGUUUUUAUCAGUAAGAUGUUCGGAUUUCACACCUACCUAUCUUUGUAUUUCAAUUUCACCUGAGUUUAUUGGAUAUGCUCCAAUACAUUUGCAGAUGCUUAUUCUCCAGUUUGGAGAGUAUUGAAGAAAAGAUUCUCACAAUUCAGUGAGGAUAUUGCAUUUUUUCAAGAAACCUUCAUGGAUAUGUUCUGUUUGGUCUGUCGAGAAGCUAAACUCUAGUGGGAAGCAUCAUUGAUGUGGGAUGGUGUGUUGUGUUGAGAAAGAUGGAGAAGAAUGCAAUUACACUGCCUAAGCUGGAGAGUUGGUACAUGCAUUGAGUCUGUGGUGGAUCUAAUGGAGAGAAUCGCAACUUGACCUGAUGUCAUCUUGCAACAAACAGGAGGACGGUGACAAAUUUCUGCAAACAGCCAAAUUUGCUGUAAUGGUAUACCACUCUCAUCCAUCAUAAUCCAACCUCACAUCUGCUGUAAUUUGUCACAAAUAACCAUUCUGAGAUGUCAGCGAUGCUUGAUAACACCUUUCAUAACUUUACUAAUGAUCGAGAAUAGAUUCAUGGGGCAGUAAUCAGCCAGAUUGGAUUUGUCCUGCUUUUUUGUAUGUACAACAUACCUGGGUAAUUUUCCACAUGGCUGGGAUGUAGGGUUAUAGCUGUACUGGACAAACUGGCAAGGGAUGUGGCAAGUUCUGGAGCUCAAGUCUUCAGUAAUAUUGCCAGAAUGUUGUCAGUCCUAAUCACCUUAUCAGUAUCUACUCCUUUCAGUGUUUCUGUUGAGCAAAUCUAACUCACUGAAAACUGCUAUCUAUGAUCUUGAGGACCUCUGGAGGAGACCCAGAUGGAUUAUCCACUUAGCACUUCUGGCUGAGGAUUGUUGCAAAUGCUUCAGCCUUAAUCUUUGCACUGAUUUUCUGUGCUCAUCCAUUACUGAAGUUGGGAUAUUUAUGGAGCCUCCUCCUCUAGUGAACUAUUUGUCUACCUCCAUUCAAGACUAGAUAUGGCAGGACUUCAGAGCUUAGAUCUGAACUGUUGGUUGUGGGAUUGCUUAGCUCUGCCUGUUCCUUGUUGUUUAUGCUGUUUGACAUGUAAGUUGCCCUGUUUUGUAGCUUCACAAGGUUGACACAUCAUUUUUUGGUAUGCCUUGUCCUGCUGCUGGAUGUCUUCCUGCAGUAUUCAAUGAACUAAGUUGAUCUCCUGCCUUGAUACUAAUAGUAGAGUUGGGGAAUAGGUAGGCCCCUAAGGGGAAAUGUAAUUUUAUCAAUGCUGCUGAUGACUCACAACUCAUGGAUUUCUUGAGUUGUUAGAUCUGUACAAACACAGUCACAUUCAUGUAGUAGUGCCACACAACCUGAUAGAGGGUAUUCUUAUUGUGAAGACAGAACUUCAUCUUCAUAAGGACUGUGUGAUGGUCACUCUUACUGAUACUGUUAUGGACAAACAUAUCUACAGCAAACAGAUUGGUGAGGGUGAGGUCAAAUAUGUUUUUCUUACUUGUUGGUUUCCUCAGUACUUUCCACAGACCCAGUCUAGCAGCUAGGUCUUCUAGGACUUGACCAGCUCAGUCAAUUGUGAUGCUGCCAAGCUACUAUUCGUAGUGGAUACUGAAGUCUCCCAUUCAGAGUAAAUUAUGCACCCUUUCUACCUUCAGUUAUUCCUUCAAGUGCUGUUCAACAUAGAGGUGUACUAAUUAGCUGGAGGGGGAGGCUGACUCAGACAGCAGCACCCUCCUGCCUGUAUACCAAUGUGCAACUGCAUUAUGUGCAAAGUAUAAUCCCAUAAGUUUGAUUAUGUCAGGCUGUUGCUUGACCAAUUUUGGUACUGGCCCUCACACAUUAAAAAGGAGGACUUUGUGGGGAACAGGACUACCUUUUAGUUGACAGUACCUCAGUCAAAGCCAGUUGGUCCUCCAGUUUCAUUCCCUAUUCCUUUUCUAGUGGUUGAUACAACUGAGUUCUUGCUAAGCUACUUCAGAGGGCAGAUAAGAAUUGACUACAUUGUUUGUCUCUUAUAUCACAAGCAUGCAAUAACCACAAAACGAUGGCAGUUUCCUUCCCAAAAGGGCAUAAUUGAGUCAGGUGUGUUUUUACAACAGUUAACACAAUUGACAAUGGCUUGAUAGUUACUAUUAUACUUUGAAAUACAGAUUUUUUUUUAAUUGAAUUCAAAUUCCACCACCUGCUCUGUUGGGAUUCAAACCCAGGACUCAGAACAUUACCUUGCAUUUCUGGAUUACUCAUCCUUUUAAGGUGUGAUUUCAUGAGUAUGGCUAUGAUGGACUCUUUCUUGACUGAUCUGAGAGACAGCUCUUCCAAAUUUGGCGCUAGGGCUCAGAUUUUGGUACAAUGGAUUCUGCAGGAUCAGCACUCCUGAGUUCACUAUUAUCAGUUUCAGUGUCUCAAUCUAUCCCAAGUGCUCUGUCUGAUUUCAGUCCUUUUUUGAGAGCUCUUUGCAGUUUGAUAUGACUGAAUGUUUUGUGAGUCAAUUUCCAAAGGCCACAAUUGUUUAACUUGAUGAGUUUUUAUGUCAAACAAUAUGGUUUCAUAUUCAUUAUUAGACUUUUAAUUCAGGUUUAUUAGGCUGUCAGCCAUGGUGGGAUUCAAACCCAGGUCCCCAAAACAUUACCUGGCUCUCUGGAUUAUUCAUUCAUCAAGAAUGCCACACUAGGCCAUCACUUCCCCUAUAGAUAGAUUAAAGAUAUUGGGGCUGGUCUCCUUAGAGAAGAAAAUGUUGAACGAAGAUUUUACAGAGACACAGAAUCAUGAGAGAUCUUUACACAAUACAUUUUCAAAAAAUUAGAUGUACUAUCAGAAUAUAAUUUGGAGGCAAGAAUAUAACACAAUUGACAGAUCAAAAGAAGCACUUUAGAGUACUGUAGAAGAAAAUCUAGAAUUUGAGUAUGGAUUGAAUAUGAACUCUCCUACACCCUGGUUCGAACCCCUGCAAAACUGAGACAGUGGUGAGAAUCCUUUGUGUGGAAGCAGGCUAUUUAGCCCUUUGAGUUCAAACCAGCUCCCCUAACAGCAUCCCACCCUGACCCAGAUACUUACCCUAUCCCUACAACAAUAAAAGAAAUACAAUUGAAAGAAAAUGGAGUGAGUUAUCACUUUGGAAUAAAUUAAUAAGCCUGUCUAGUAAGAGAAUAUGAUAACACAUCAUGGUAGUUGUGAUGCUGAAGUUAUAAGGCUUGAGAUUGCAAUAAGUCAUUUAAGAAUUUAUGGAUUCUGAAGAAAGAUCACUUGACCUGAAACAUUAACUCUGCUUCCUGUCCACAGAUGCUGCCAGACUAGCAGAGUUUUCCUAGCAAUUUCCAAGCAAUGUUUUGUUUCUGAUUUCUAGUAUCUGCAGUUCUUUGUGAUUUUUGUUCAGUCUUUAUUGACCAAGCUCUUAAAAGUGUUUGAAAAUAACUAUUAACCACUACCUAGUUUCCUAUCAUAAAACCAAUUUCAUAAUCAUGUUGCCACAGUGUCUUUUAUUCCAUAACCUCUAGAGGCAUAGAGUCAUAGAAAUGUACAACACAGAAACAGAAUCUUUGGUCCAACUUGUCCAUGUCAACCAGAUAU